GGCCCAUAUUCCUACGGGAGGCAGCAGUAGGGAAUUUNNNACAAUGGGCGCAAGCCUGAUGGAGCAACACCGCGUGAGUGAAGAAGGGUUUCGGCUCGUAAAGCUCUGUUGUUAAAGAAGAACACGUAUGAGAGUAACUGUUCAUACGUUGACGGUAUUUAACCAGAAAGUCACGGCUAACUACGUGCCAGCAGCCGCGGUAAUACGUAGGUGGCAAGCGUUAUCCGGAUUUAUUGGGCGUAAAGAGAGUGCAGGCGGUUUUCUAAGUCUGAUGUGAAAGCCUUCGGCUUAACCGGAGAAGUGCAUCGGAAACUGGAUAACUUGAGUGCAGAAGAGGGUAGUGGAACUCCAUGUGUAGCGGUGGAAUGCGUAGAUAUAUGGAAGAACACCAGUGGCGAAGGCGGCUACCUGGUCUGCAACUGACGCUGAGACUCGAAAGCAUGGGUAGCGAACAGGAUUAGAUACCCUGGUAGUCCAUGCCGUAAACGAUGAGUGCUAGGUGUUGGAGGGUUUCCGCCCUUCAGUGCCGGAGCUAACGCAUUAAGCACUCCGCCUGGGGAGUACGACCGCAAGGUUGAAACUCAAAGGAAUUNNCGGGGGCCCGCACAAGCGGUGGAGCAUGUGGUUUAAUUCGAAGCUACGCGAAGAACCUUACCAGGUCUUGACAUCUUGCGCCAACCCUAGAGAUAGGGCGUUUCCUUCGGGAACGCAAUGACAGGUGGUGCAUGGUCGUCGUCAGCUCGUGUCGUGAGAUGUUGGGUUAAGUCCCGCAACGAGCGCAACCCUUGUUACUAGUUGCCAGCAUUAAGUUGGGCACUCUAGUGAGACUGCCGGUGACAAACCGGAGGAAGGUGGGGACGACGUCAGAUCAUCAUGCCCCUUAUGACCUGGGCUACACACGUGCUACAAUGGACGGUACAACGAGUCGCGAACUCGCGAGGGCAAGCAAAUCUCUUAAAACCGUUCUCAGUUCGGACUGCAGGCUGCAACUCGCCUGCACGAAGUCGGAAUCGCNAG
rnacentral:rRNA from 2 species